rnacentral:misc_RNA from 1 species
GAUGAAGAACGCAGCGAAAUGCGAUAAGUAAUGUGAAUUGCAGAAUUCAGUGAAUCAUCGAAUCUUUGAACGCACAUUGCGCCCGCCAGUAUUCUGGCGAGCAUGCCUGUUCGAGCGUCAUUUCAACCAUCAAGCCCCAGGCUUGUGUUGGAGCCCUGCGGCUGCCGCAGCCUCCCAAAACCAGUGGCGGGCUCGCUAUCACACCGAGUGCAGUAGUUUACUCUUCGCUCAGGGCGUGUGGCGGGUGCUAGCCGUGAAACCCCCAACUUCUCAAGGUUGACCUCGGAUCAGAUAGGAAUACCCGCUGAACUUAAGCAUAUCAAUAAGCGGAGGA